rnacentral:misc_RNA from 1 species
CUUCAGGCUUCUGAAAGCACUUGUUAUAGAAGGGCUUGAUCGAAGGACUCAGACAAGAAUCAUCCCAGGCCUUGUUCCUUCACAUGCUUCUAAGGCUUGAAUUAUAUACAAAACACACAAUGAAAACGUUCUGUGUGGUAUGCUAUGUUGCUCAAAUCCCCCAAAAAUGCUACUGCAACCGUGUCAGAUUCUCCAAAAAUGGUGUCAGGUGUGACGGCACUUUUGGAAGAUCUGAG